rnacentral:rRNA from 1 species
CCUACGGGAGGCAGCAGUAAGGAAUAUUGGUCAAUGGACGCAAGUCUGAACCAGCCAUGCCGCGUGGAGGAUGAAGGCCCUCUGGGUUGUAAACUUCUUUUAUUGGGGAAGAACUCUAUCUUUUCUAAGGUAGUUGACGGUACCCGAUGAAUAAGCACCGGCUAACUCCGUGCCAGCAGCCGCGGUAAU